UAAGGAGGAUGCGAGCGUUAUCCGGAUUUAUUGGGUUUAAAGGGUGCGUAGGCGGAUUUGUAAGUCAGCGGUAAAAAUGCGGUGCUCAACGCCGUAUCGCCGUUGAAACUGCGGGUCUUGAGUGAGCGAGAAGUAUGCGGAAUGAGUAGUGUAGCGGUGAAAUGCUUAGAUAUUACUCAGAACACCGAUUGCGCAGGCAGCUUGCUAAUCCGCAUCUGACGCUGAUGCACGAAAGCGUGGGUAGCGAACAGG
rnacentral:rRNA from 1 species